ACAUUUGAAAGAGUCCUAGAAUCUUGUGAUGGGAAAUUUCAGGCGAUUGAUUUGAUCACACCUGGUAAUGAAUACUGCAUGACGCUCACACAUUCAGGAGAAAUUAGUGUUUGGUGUAUAGAAGAUGGUGCUUGUGUUAGCAGGGUUUAUCUGAAUACCCCAGCAACAGCUCUGGCUUGUUCUCCCUCCUCCCUCUCUGCAGCCGUGGGGACUGUGGAUGGCUCUGUCCAUUUCCUCGAUGUCCGAGAUGCCGAGUCCCCGCAGGCAGUUCACAAAGCCUUUCUC